CGGGGGUAAGAGGUUCGACUCGAGCGAAGCGAGAGAACGUUGCGCCAGCAACGGCCCGCAGGGCGAGCCACGCAGUGGCGAGUCAUCCUCUAUCACCGGCAG
rnacentral:sRNA from 1 species